GGAUUAGAUACCCUGGUAGUCCACGCCGUAAACGAUGUCUACUUGGAGGCUGUAGUCUUGAACUGUGGCUUUCGGAGCUAACGCGUUAAGUAGACCGCCUGGGGAGUACGGUCGCAAGAUUAAAACUCAAAUGAAUUGACGGGGGCCCGCACAAGCGGUGGAGCAUGUGGUUUAAUUCGAUGCAACGCGAAGAACCUUACCUACUCUUGACAUCCAGAGAAGCCGAAAGAGAUUUUGGUGUGCCUUCGGGAACUCUGAGACAGGUGCUGCAUGGCUGUCGUCAGCUCGUGCCG
rnacentral:rRNA from 1 species